GACUAUGUGCAUAAUCAACAGGUGGUUGUUCACUUCCGAUCUCUUGAAAAGCCGAAGGAAGAUGAUUUUUGUCUAGAGAUGUCAAAGCUUUUUACGUAUGAUGUUGUUGUAGAAAGAGUAGCU